AAGCUUGGGCUUGACGCUUUUGCGUCAGGGGUAGGGGAGCGUCGUGUAAGGGGCGAAGUCGUAUCGUAAGGGACGGUGGACUUUACACGAGUGAGAAUGCCGGAAUGAGUAGCGAGAAUUAUGUGAGAAUCAUAAUGGUCGAAAGCCUAAGGUUUUUGGAGGAAGGUUCGUCCGCUCCAAGUAAGCCGGGAGCUAAGGUCAGGCGGAAACGCGUAGCCGAUGCACAUACGGUUGAAAUUCCGUAGCCUCAGAAAGAUUUAAGCAGAGGGACACUUUGAAAGGACUGUAGCCGGGUGUUGGUUACCCCGGUCGUAAGGGAACGAAAUUAAGUAGUGAAGGCAGUCUGGACGGAGGCGAGAAAAGCUCUGUGUAUAUCUAAUGAGCCCGUACCGCAAACCGACACAGGUAGGUGGGAUGAGAAUUCUAAGACCAACGGGAGAAGGGUAGUUAAGGAACUCGGCAAAUUGUCCCCGUAACUUCGGAAUAAGGGGAGCCUGCGAAAGCAGGCCGCAGAGAAUUGGCCCAGGCGACUGUUUAUCAAAAACACAGCUCUAUGCUAAAUCGAAAGAUGACGUAUAUGGGGUGACACCUGCCCGGUGCUGGAAGGUUAAGAGGAGAUGUGAGAGCAUCGAAUUGAAGCCCCAGUAAACGGCGGCCGUAACUAUAACGGUCCUAAGGUAGCGAAAUUCCUUGUCAGGUAAGUUCUGACCCGCACGAAUGGUGUAACGAUCUGGGCACUGUCUCGACUACCCGCCCGGCGAAAUUGUAGUACCGGUGAAGAUGCCGGUUACCCGCGACUAGACGGAAAGACCCCAUGGAGCUUUACUGUAGCUUAAUAUUGGAUUUCGGCAGUUCAUGUACAGGAUAGGUGGGAGACUAUGAAACACGGGCGUCAGCUUGUGCGGAGUCGUCCUUGGGAUACCACUCUUGGAUUGCUGGAAUUCUAACCUGCGGCCCUGAAUCGGGUCGGGGGACAUUGUUAGGUGGGCAGUUUGACUGGGGCGGUCGCCUCCAAAAGAGUAACGGAGGCGCUCAAAGGUUGGCUCAGCAUGGACGGAAACCAUGCUCUUGAGUGUAAACGCAAAAGCCAGCCUAACUGCGAGACUGACGGGUCGAGCAGUAACGAAAGUUGGAGUUAGUGAUCCGGUGGUAUGUGAGUGGAAAUGCCAUCGCUCAACGGAUAAAAGCUACCCUGGGGAUAACAGGCUGAUCUCCCCCAAGCGUCCACAGCGACGGGGAGGUUUGGCACCUCGAUGUCGGCUCGUCACAUCCUGGGGCUGAAUUCGGUCCCAAGGGUUCGGCUGUUCGCCGAUUAAAGUGGCACGCGAGCUGGGUUCAGAACGUCGUGAGACAGUUCGGUCCCUAUCUGUCGUGGGCGUAGGAUAUUUGAAAGGCGCUGUCCCUAGUACGAGAGGACCGGGAUGGACGCACCUCUGGUGCACCAGUUGUCACGCCAGUGGCACAGCUGGGCAGCUAAGUGCGGAUCGGAUAAACGCUGAAAGCAUCUAAGCGUGAAGCCGUCCUUAAGAUAAGAUAUCCCAUGCGUAAGCAGUAAGACCCCUUGU
rnacentral:rRNA from 1 species